rnacentral:lncRNA from 1 species
UUCUUGUGAUCGGAUCUCUCAUGUUUGGUACCGUGUUUCUAGGCGGUUAGGGACCGAGUUUGUGUCCCCCAAUAGUAUUAUGCAAGUUUUUGAGAGUUUAUUUGACUUAGGUGUGGGGUGUCAGGCUCAGUUAUGUUUGAUUCUAGUGUGCAUGAUGUUGUGUGGACUAUUUUGACCUCUUUGAUGUUUUUGUUUCGUAUAUUUUUUCUUAUUUGUUGUUAAGUACUUCUGAUACUUAUGAUAUGUACUCUGAUUAUAAUUAUUAUGGAUUUAAUUUAAAUACACCGACGGUGUAAAAUAAUUUUACACCGUCAAUCAAUACCAACCAUGUUUUCCGCCACAUCACCCCACUUCACCCCACUUUCUUGAUAUGACAUGACAAAAUGGUGGUUGUUUAUUGGACGAUCGUGUAAAACUAUUUUACACCGUC